GAUGAACGCUAGCUACAGGCUUAACACAUGCAAGUCGCGGGGCAGCAUGGGGGUUGCUUGCAAUCCCCGAUGGCGACCGGCGCACGGGUGAGUAACGCGUAUCCAACCUGCCCUUCACCACGGGAUAACCCGGCGAAAGUCGGACUAAUACCGUAUGUUGUCCAUUGACGGCAUCCGAUUUGGACGAAAGGUUUGGCGGUGAAGGAUGGGGAUGCGUCCGAUUAGCUGGACGGCGGGGUGACGGCCCACCGUGGCGACGAUCGGUAGUGGUUCUGAGAGGAAGGUCCCCCACACUGGAACUGAGACACGGUCCAGACUCCUACGGGAGGCAGCAGUGAGGAAUAUUGGUCAAUGGGCGUAAGCCUGAACCAGCCAAGUAGCGUGCAGGAUGACGGCCCUAUGGGUUGUAAACUGCUUUUAUGCGGGGAUAAAGUGGCCCACGUGUGGGUUUUUGCAGGUACCGCAUGAAUAAGGACCGGCUAAUUCCGUG
rnacentral:rRNA from 1 species